CCUCUUGAGUAGUUGGUAUUGAGGACAUAGAGUGUGCCAAGUGUGCUAGUAGCGUCGCCUUCCUUGUGUCCGGCUCCUUCUAAGGCUCCAGGCCUAGCAAACCGUGUCGCUCCUCUCCGGAGGACACCGAGCGAGCGCCCUAAGGAGAGUCUAAAGCCCUCUCUUCAAUCCCGUGCUGUCGUGUGAAGAGCGGGAAGCCGUGGCUCCUCUACUCCGUUUUGGAUUCAGGCGUCGGUUGCCCCAAAUUGGUGGUAUUCCCAUGAAAUAAAGAAGAACUGCCAACACUAGGCGCGUGAUGCUGCGCGAGAAACGAAAAGAUGAAUCGGUCUCUCAGGAGCUUCGGUCCAGUCGUUACAGGCACAGCAGCAGACAGCUAGAGAAUCCAGAGUCAUCUGUUACGCCCACCACCUGUGCUACCCUCGGCUGAACAGCACACAGGUCUCAACUCGGAGACUUGCCGCUUACCUAACAAGACUCUGGAACCUUCCUGGAAGGGACCAUAUCCUGUGAUCCUGACAACACCAAGGGCCAUCAAGGUAGCAGGGACCGCAGCUUGGAUCUACCACCUCCACCUAAAGGCAGACACAACCAGCCAGAUAGGUGACAGAUGGAGGGUAAUGCAAUGUCCCCAAUGCCCUCUAAAGGUGUGGCUCAUAUACACCUUGAACUCAGACUGGCACUAAUUUUGGGAAUCUUGAUAGGUCACUCCCAGCAAGUUGAAAAUGUUGAAGCCUGGGAUUGGGAGCUGUAUCGAACCUCAGAUAGGAAACCAAUAGGUGUUUUCCAGAGUAUCAAUUCCCAACCUGUGUUUAAAUUUGACCUGUGCGAUUUUUUUGAUGACAAUGAACUUAUGGCUGAAUGGGGAAUUUAUAGUCCAGUUCACCCAGGGUGUGGGACCAAAAUGCAGGAAAUAUCCCUCUGGUCUUCGCCAUUUUAUGCAUGCCCAGCUGAUGGGCCUACACACUGUCACAGAUGGGAAAAAGAUUAUCAUUGCUCUACCCCAGGCUGCGAGACUGAGUCUGACCAGGGCGGACAUAAAGACCCAUACAUCUCCAUUCAACGGGUAUAUCCUUCCCGGGAUUGCAAACCUGGGACCUGUAAUCCCUUUACUUUAAAGAUUGUGUCUUGGAAUGAAUUGAGUGCCAAAUACUGGCUUACAGGCCGGACCUGGGGAUUUGUACUUAAAUUUAAGAAUUAUGGAAACAGUCCUGGUGUAGAAUUCACUAUACAGAAAUACGUUCCACACUACAGAGCCAAUCCUGUAGGUCUGCAAAGGAGCUGGUUGCCUCAACCAGGGAUCAGGCUGUAUCCUUUCUCUCUCCUCACCCCUCAGGCCAUUUCACCCAUGGUAGUGAAUCUCUCCACAGUCAUGGUCAAGGGGCGACAGGAAUAGAUACCUUCAACCCUUCUCUAGAACUCACUUAAAGUUUUGUUCCCUAGUGAUUCCCCUGAGCUCAAGACUUGAAGUUAUUACAUAAUUGGAUAAAUCACACACACCCCAGCCCUUGAAGAAGAUUAUUGGCUUUGUCAAGGUCCCAGGCCUCUCUUUUAUGUAGAGAUAGGGGUCAAUCUCUCUAUUAUCCCAACCAGAAAAUUUAAAUGGUAGAACAAAGAAACUAGACUCACCCUGGGAGAUUUCUAAGGAAAAGGUUAAUCUCUUCAAUUUGUAAUUAUCCAGCUUCCCAUUAUAGCAAAACCUGCAUACCCGUUUGUACAUCAACUGGUCUGAGCAUAUCUCUAAUGCCUAUGAAGGACAUGGUAGACCUGUGUGUUUGAGCUUGCUGGGUAUGUAACAUCUGCAUACUUUGAAUUUUGGCCCAAGGAAAGAAAUCUCUCUAUUAUAGCCUAUAUAUCCUCUCUCAAGUAGACAUGUAUACUGGAGAGAAAGGUAGAAAACUUUUGCCUACAUAUGAAGGAUAAUUCCCAUUGUGAGGCCCAGCAGGGUUUGUUAGAAAAAAGAGAAUAGCAAUCUCAGCUAUAUAGUUAAACCCUCCUCCUGAAAGCAAGAAUCACUGCUAUGGGUGCCUUGGGAGUGUUAGCUCUAGUUAUUCAAGACCAGAAUUUUAAAGUGCUUAGUAAUAAAGUAGAACAAGACAUACAGCACCUAAAGGACUCUAUCCAGCAACUUGAAAAACAAGUAGUUUCCCUAGCAGAAAUGGUUUUACAAAACCAUUGAGGACUAGAUUUUAAUUGUGAAGGAAGGACAUUUGUUGUGCUGCCUCGGGUGAAAAAUGUUUAAAUGCCAAUAACUCAAGAGUUAAUGGGAAACAUUAGAUAUGACUCAGAAAAACUUAAGCUGUAAGGGCAAAGGAGUGAGCUGAGGCGAAUCUGCUUGGAACCAGUCUCUUUUUUUCUUGGUCCCCAUGGCUUACCACCCUUAUAGCAACCACAGCUGGGCCCAGUCUUUUACUUUUUCUUGGUAUCCCAAUGCGCUCCCACAUUUUAAAUUGGUGACUGAUGUACAUUAAAAGUAGAACCAGCUCUGCUAAAACAAGAGCCUUGCAGGCUGGGUAACAAUCUGUACUUCAGCUCGACUCAGUGAUUGAAUUCAUGAGAUCAAGAGCCAGCAGGGAAUGUGAUGCUAAGGAAACUCCAUUUUGUACCAAUUUUAGUAGGCUUUGCCUCUGACUUAAAUUCUUGAAAGCCUGUCUCCCUCCCCAAAAUGGUGCAACUGGUGAAAUGAUUAGCUGCUGGCUCAGGCUUUUGUAACUUGCUUAUAGCAGUAUGCAUAAGGAGGGAGUUUCUCAUAUAGCUGCAAAUUCCACAGAAAAAUUAAGUAAUUGUCAGUUUUACCUUUAAAAAUCUUUUCCUCAGCCCCUCCUAGGUGGUAUUCCUUUGAUUUGACUUUGAGACUGACAACCAGCUAGCAGUUUUAAUAAAUUUAUCUAAUAAUCUG